rnacentral:rRNA from 1 species
GACGAACGCUGGUGGCGUGCUUAACACAUGCAAGUCGAACGGUAAGGCCCUUCGGGGUACACGAGUGGCGAACGGGUGAGUAACACGUGGGUGAUCUGCCCUGCACUUCGGAAUAAGCCUGGGAAACUGGGUCUAAUACUGGAUCGGACCACUGCCCGCCUGGUUGGCGGUGGAAAGCUUUUGCGGUGUGGGAUGGGCCCGCGGCCUAUCAGCUUGUUGGUGGGGUGAUGGCCUACCAAGGCGACGACGGGUAGCCGGCCUGAGAGGGUGACCGGCCACACUGGGACUGAGAUACGGCCCAGACUCCUACGGGAGGCAGCAGUGGGGAAUAUUGCACAAUGGGCGCAAGCCUGAUGCAGCGACGCCGCGUGACGGAUGACGGCCUUCGGGUUGUAAACCUCUUUCAGCACCGACGAAGCGCAAGUGACGGUAGGUGCAGAAGAAGGACCGGCCAACUACGUGCCAGCCGCCGCAGUAA